CCCACCAGUACAUGAAAAUAAGCCUGCCUGCUCUCUGCCUUUCACAUUUUUGUCCGUUGGAUUAUUGUUUGCGCAUCUUUGCAGUUGGGUUAGGGGAGAAAUGCAGGAAAACUAGUCAUCUCCUAGCAGGAUAGGAUUACACCAGGUGUUGACCAUUCUUUGAGACUAUUGAUCAAGAACCCAUUGAUAAACGGGUUGGUCCCUUGUGAAGAUGGAACAAUGAAGAAAACAGAGAAAAGUAUCUGCCAGACAGCUCAGCAGAUGACACUUCCUUGCUGACCAAAAUGCAGACUUUCAUGACGACCCUGACCAGAAAGAUCACCCUGGAGGUGGAGCCCAGAAAUAUCAUCCAGAAUGAAAACCAAGAGCUAGUAUGCAUAGGAAAGGCAAUCCCCAGACCAGCAGAGUGUCAUCUUUGUAGGCAAGCAGCUGGACCAUGGCCACAUGUUUUCUAAUCACAACAUCCAGAGUCAACUUUGCACCUGGACUCCUAUCUGAGGGGAAUUGCCAGCUCGUGAAGUGACCAAGACAACACUCUAACACUCCUGAAGCAAGACAUCAACACAGAGAUCCGUGCCUGGGACUAAAGUAAAAACCAAAACCAAAACCAAAGCAAAACAUGGAAUUUUGCUUUACACGAUGCCUAUGAUAA